rnacentral:rRNA from 1 species
ACGCAUUAAGUUGACCGCCUGGGGAGUACGGCCGCAAGGUUUAAAAUCAAAAGAAUUGACGGGGGCCCGCACCAGCGGUGGAGCAUGUUGUUUAAUUUGAAGCAACGGGAAGAACCUUACCAGGCCUUGACAUGCAGAGAAAUUUCCAGAGAAGGAUUGGGGCCUUUGGGAAAUUUGACACCGGUGCUGCAAGGCUGUUUUUUAGCUUGUGUUUUGAGAAGUUGGGUUAAGUCCCGUAACGAGGGCCACCCUUGUCCUUAGUUACCAGCAGGUUAUGCUGGGCACUCUAAGGAGACUGCCGGUGACAAACCGGAGGAAGGUGGGGAUGACGUCAAGUCAUCAUGGCCCUUACGGCUUGGGCUACACACGUGCUACAAUGGUCGGUACAGAGGGUAGCCACCUCGCGAGGGCGAGCUAAUCUCACAAAACCGAUCGUAGUCCGGAUCGCAGUCUGCAACUCGACUGCGUGAAGUCGGAAUCGCUAGUAAUCGCGAAUCAGAAUGUCGCGGUGAAUACGUUCCCGGGCCUUGACACACCGCCCGUCACACCAUGGAGUGGGUGCACCAGAAGUAGCUAGUCUAACCUUCGGGAGGACGGUAUCACGGAUCUA